GUCAUCACUGUGCGUCACAUUGGCGACGUCGGCGCUCGAGCUGCACUCGGCAGGGCUCUUGGCAGCGCCCUGGGCUCUGAGGUUGUCUUGGCAACCCCGGAUCAGAUUUCGGCCGCCAGCGUCCACAGCCUAAGGCUUUUGGUGACUAAUUUAUGCUCCUUGAAACAAGUACCAGGCAGAACCUGGACUAAAGAUGGAGUCUCACUCUGUGGCCCAGGCUGGAGUACACUGGCAUGAUCUUGGCUUACUGCAACCUCUCCCUCCUGGUUCAAAUGAUUCUCCUGCCUCAGCCUCCCGAGUAGCUGGGAUUACAGGUGUGCACUACCAUGCCUGGCUAAUUUUUGUAUUUUUAGUAGAGAUCAGGUUUCACCAUGUUGGCCAGGCUGGUCCAAACUCCUGACCUCAAGUGAUCCACCUGCCUCGGUCUCCCAAAGUGCUGGGAUUACAGGUGUGAGGCUCUGCGCCCGGCCGAGAACAAUAAAAUCUUAACCCUCAAUGUCUGCACUGGGUGUGCAGAGUGAGUGACUUCCAAAAAGUCAUAAAUACGCUUUAAAUCAUUCAUUUACUCAUUCUGUAAACAUGUAUUGAAUACCCUUUAUGUGCCAUAAGGAAUACAGGAAAAAAAAAAAAAAAACCUUUGUUUUUGUUCUCAAGACAACAACAAACCAAAGUGCUGUAGGUGCUAUGGUAGAAAUAUCCACAUGUUGCUUGAAACACAAGGAACACACGUCUAACGUGGGACCCAGCAUUGGAAACCCAGUCCAAAUCUUGCUGGGUGAGGUUGUAGGGAUUCUUCAGUCAUUGACUGAUUCAACAAAGAUUUACUGAACACUUACAAUGUGCCAGGCUGUUAUCUGGGCACUGAAGACUCAGUCUUAUAAAUGAAGUAGCCAGAUUCACAGUUCUUAUGGAGCUUGUGUUUGAGUUGUGGUGUGGGGAGGGAGCUAAGGCAGAGGAUGCAGAAGAGACAGACUGUAUACCAGUCAGCCAAUAAGCAAGCCAUUGAUUCCAUGUGUUUUACUGAGUGUCUAAUAUGUGUCAGGCAGAGUGUUGCAUGCUGGUAUUAUAAAGACAAAUGAGACACAGCCCCUGUCCCUGAGGGGUUAGAUAAAAAGGAAAGAGCCUGUAGGAAGGCCUAGUGCAAAGAAUGGUGCUGUGUUUGGGGAAAAUCAAGCUGUGUAGUUGAGCUGGGGCAUAGGGUGUUGUGAGGGAGGGGGCUCCCUCUUUCAGUGAUGAAAUGCACCCUUUCCACAACUUGGGAAAGAAUCCUUCCUGGAAACUUCACAGGAACCCUCUCAAAGUACUUAUCGAUGUAGACAUUUGAAACACACUGUAGGUCCUGGGUGUCUAUAAAAUAGCAUCAUCCAGCCAAUCAUCUCUCCCCACAUUGCUGAACUGAGGACAUGUGAACUGGUAUCUCUCGGUGGUUCAGAACAGGGGCCACCACCUGUGUAGUAAAGAAAGUGUUUUUGGAACACAGUCAUGGCCAUUCAUUUAAAUAUUAUCUAUGACUGCUCUGGUGCUACAAUGGCAGAGGCGAGUAAUUAUGACAAAGACCACGUAGCCCAAAAGCCUAUCUGGGCCUGUAAGAAAAAGCUGCCAACCCCUGGUCUAGGAGUUCUGCUUACCUGAAAUACAAACCAAUAAUGAGUUUCUGACACACCAAGUUCAAUUCCCUCCCUCCCUUCCUUCCUUCCUUUUUCCUUUUCUUCCUUCCCUUCCUCCCUUCCUCCUCCCUUCCUCCCUUCCCCCUUGUCACUCUCUCUCUCCUUCUCACUCUCUCUCUCUCUUCCUUCCUUGCUUUCUUACCUAA